rnacentral:lncRNA from 1 species
GGUUGUGUUUUUCUUCUUCUUCUUCAGCUUCUUGUUCCUCUUCAGGAACUAAGUCAGCAAGAUACUCUAUAUAGUCUUCAUCCAUAUCAUCUUCAUCUCCCUCAGACUCUGAGUCUGAAGAGAUGUCAAUGAUCUCCGUUUCUUGUGGUGGUUUUUCUUCUUUUUCGUCCUUCUGAUCUUCUUUCUCGUGUUUUUCUUCUUUCUUAUUUGCUAAACGCGCACUGAAUCUUCUCAUUCUUGAUUCUUGUUGUUGAUAAAAUGUUUUGUUGUGAAGAAAUCGUGGUUUUCGUAUUCCUUUUAUAGCGUGUUUUGUGCUUUGAUUUUUGUCUUUUGACAUUAAUUCACCUUUGUAACUGUCAAUUCUUU